AUGGUCAAUGCAACAAAAGGCGUUUUCAUUUCCUGUGACAUACCUAUGGCUCAAUAUAUCAUAAAUAUGAAUGCUUCAAUGCCGGCAUGUGACAAGUUCAUUAUACAUGUCUUGGAUAGUACUCACAUGUUUGUUCAACCCCAUGUCGAGCUUAUGAUUCGGAGUCAAAUUGCAAAGUUUAGAGAAGACAAUACUUAUGUCAAGCCUUCUUGA